rnacentral:tRNA from 1 species
AUCCAAGUGCUGAAACUGGUAUACAGUGCAAACUUAAGAUUUGCUGGCGCUAGCCGUGAACGUUCGAUCCGUUCCUUGGAUAU